rnacentral:rRNA from 1 species
UAUAUUGAAGAUAGAGAGUCGGACCUGCCCGGCGUAUUUUUUAACGGCCGCGGUACUCUGACCGUGCAAAGGUAGCAUAAUCAUUUGCCUUAUAAUUGAAGGCUAGAAUGAAUGGUUUGACAAGAAUACAACUGUCUCUUUACAAUUACAUAAAAUUUUAUCUGCAGUUGAAGAAGCCUGCAUUUGAAUAAAAGACAAGAAGACCCUAUCGAGCUUAAAAAAAACUGGUGGAAUAACAAACUUAAUCCUAACUUAUAAAUAAAUAAAUAGUCAACUACUGGAAAUUUUGGUUGGGGCGACCGGGGAACAAAAAAAAUUUCCUUUAUAAAAAUUUAGAUGCCCAAAUAUUGAUCCAGCAUUAUAUGAUUAAAGAAAUUAGUUAACUUUGGGUAACAGCAUUAUCUUUUUUAAGAGUUCUUAUCGAAUCCCGUUUGUGACCUCGAUGUUGGACC